rnacentral:lncRNA from 1 species
GGAUCCAUACCUUUCUUGCUCUUUUGAAACUUUUUGAGGAGAAUGAGAUGCUCUAUAUUUUCUUUUUUUCUCUCAGGUGGGUAUCUUGUACCCCUAAUUCUACUGUCGGACACUUGUCUAUUUUUACCUCUCGUCUCACUUUUUCUUUUCUUUUGAGGUUCCGGGCACUUGCCCCUUUUUAUUUCCUCGUAUUCGCCUCUUUUUUUCAGAGCACUCACCCUCCUAGAAUAAUGUAGCAAGUGGUAGUAACUAAAAUAUCUCGAGCAUUUAUUUCACGGGGAAUAACAGGGAUAGGAUAAUGUUUUUGGCUAUUCUCUCCUAGAUAGGAGUAGAAUAAUUUUGGGUGAAUCUGGAAAUAGAAAUGAUUGGAUGUAUGUGGAUGCGUACUUCCAGAGUAGAAGCAGCAUGUAUGAGUGAACGUGCAAGUGAAUCUUGAUUUUAACCACAUGACAAGCUCCUAAGGGUCUACAUAGCUUGACCACACUCAAUGCUCAUAAGCAGUAAAAAGUAAAUGUAUGGUUCAUAGUCUAAUAAGCAUGUAUAUAUGGCUGUGGUAGGAUUUUAAACUCUCAUCAUACAGGAACUCAUCAUGCAACAUUUUAAAGAUUUUCAAAGAUAAAAUUCUCUAGAAUUCUAGCAUCUCUAGGAACAGAUAAACAACAGCUCAACCUUCCCAUAUCGUAUCCAUUAACGACUUAAACUUUAGAUCAAGUACUCUCCCCACAAGUUCAGGUUUAGAGCAAAUCUUAAUUCAUAACAGUCAAGCCUAAACUUGAGAGAGAUUUCAAUUUUGAGAACUAGUCAUGGCAGAGCAACUAUUCAUCAUUUCCAUGUGAGAGCUUAUCAUGAGGGUUCAUAGCAAACUUUAUUUAUUUAUUUAUUUAGCAAACUAAGCAAAGAUAUAUAUAUAUAUAAGCAAAAAAUCUUUAUUUAGGUUUUUAUGAUUAUACAUCUUUUUAUUAUUUGAGUAAAGUAUAAAUGUGAGUAGAACACUUAGCUGGAUAAAUGGGGGUGCUCUCCCCCAAGCUGGAUUUUGACGUAAUUUCUUCUGAUGUAGCUAGCAAGUGGUGGAGGUGUAUUUGAAUGUCGGCAGCACCCUCACAGCGAUUAGGAUGUCCUUCGUCUGCUAGUCUUCUUUGAUCCUUGAAUUCUGUGGAGCUCAAAUAGACAACAAAGCUUUGUGAAACUAGUUAAGUGUUAGCAUAAAUAUCUAGCCUUUAUCAUGUUGAGCCUCCUCAAUAAAUAUUACACUCUUUGAUAGGAUCAUAAAUUUAUUUUUAUAUUUUCAUUUUUAUAGGACACGAAUAUAUUUAUUUUAUUCUUAUGCCACCACAGUGAAUGUACUUAUGAGUUUUAUGCCAUGAGCAUACUCACAUGGGGCUGACUAUUUUUAGAAUUUUUAUUUUCUUUUCAAGAUGAUAUAAACCUGAUUAACUAAGCAAACUAUUUUAAAUAAUUGAAAGGAAAAAGAUAACUACCAAGUUUACCUCUUGGCAAGGCGUUCAGUGUUUUUAAGUCCUCCGAACUGUGAGGGUAUAAACCCCUAUACCCUUACGGCUAGACUUGGGCCAGGAGGCUUGGCCCAUUACGAGACAAGUUUGAAGCUUGAUCCAACAGCUUGGAGUUUUACGCAAGGGAACAAGACGUGGUGAUCAAGCAAGAUUCUAGUCGGUUAGAAUAGGAAUUGAUACCGAACUAUUUAUGGCAAUUGUAACCGACUAGGAUUAGUUGUCAGAUCUGUAACCCUGCCCUCCGGACUAUAUAAGGAGAGGCAAGGGACCCCCCUAGGAUAUAUUAUUCUCUCAACACAAUCCAAUACAACAAGACGCAGGACGUAGGUAUUACGCCAACUCGGCGGCCGAACUUGGAUAAAAAGCUUGUCCGUGUCUUGCGUCACCAUCGAGUUCGUAGUUUGCGCACCGUCUACCGAUAAACUACUACCGUGGGUAUACCCCAAGGUAGAUUGCCGACUAGCUUUCAUCGACAGUGGCGCGCCAGGUAGGGGGUGUGCGUGCAACUUGUCUGGCGAACAAGAUGGUCACAAUCCCAGUUUCCGCGGCCGUGCCUGAAGGCCUCACGUUCACCGUCGCUCAGAUCACGUGGACGACGCGCGGCGGUGGUCUCACGACCACGGUUCCGGAAGAAACUCAGAUCCAAUCUGGGAUCACGAUGGCUCCGACCACUCCGGUGACAGCACCGAGCGCCCGACCCUCGCUCCCGCUCUACAAGGGAAAGAAGAUCGACUGCUCGGACCUUCUCCAAGCACUUGAUCGCGCCGAUUCCAGGCUACUUGAAGCUUCCCGACUAGUAGAUGGAACCUUGCGCCAGCCCGAUCAAGCCGCCCCAACCGAUUUUUUCAAAUCCCACCGGCCAACUCGUGUCGCUACACACGAACGGCUGGGAACGUCUCUGACGAUAACCUCAACUCCCUCAGGGCGAUCCAUCAAGCUCAAGGCUAACCCAGAGGAAGAUUAUCCAUGCGGCCUGUACAACUCGGCCUCUCUCUACUCACGGCACGUCCAAUCCCUUUUUAACAAGGAGGGUUGGUUGCCAAAGAGGAACGAUCGACCUGCUCGCCACUACGUCAACAUGGUGACAAUCCGAGAACUACGGGAUGGCCAGGUCACCAGCACAAAUUCGAGCACCGGUAUCGUCCCCACCGAAGUCAUAAACUCCGAAGACGAGGACUACGACCUGGAUUUGCCUUCACAUCCUCCAGGUUUCUCCCGUUUCCCGGUAUUUCCCCCCGGCGAGGAGACAUUGUUUUCAACGUCAGCGCCGACGAGCCGGUCGUUGAUGGAGAAACGGAUGAGCAGAGGCAGCUCCGCGAGCAGCGUAACGCCGAUCGCGCCCGAAGACGCGCAGAUGAGGAACGACAAAUUCCGCCGCAUAAUCUCAGCGACGCUUUUGACAUGGUUGGGGACCAGCCAGUCUACAAAACGCCAAGCGCCAACGUGGCUGUCGCCAUGGCUAAUCUAGAUCGGCUCCCUGAUACCCCCGAGUGCCAGGGGGUCCGAACCAGUGUCCGGGCGCACCUGAUCGCCGCGAUGGGACAGACAGCCACCCUUCUCAAGAGAGUCCAGGCCGUCUCUUAUACAGAAGCCACCUCCGACCAGACUCAUCAUAGCCGGACCUCAUCGCAGCUCAGCAGGCAUCACCGCAGCCGUUCCCCCGACAACCAUCGAAAAGAUUCACGGCGUGACGAUGGCGGUCGGGAUGCUGACGGUCACCGCGAGCAGAAUCGCAGGCGCGGUCAAGAAGUAAACCAGCACAGGGAUCUUCGAUAUAACAUCCCUCCCAAAGAUGCCCGGGACCGCAUCAACAAGCGCGCCACGGAGAGAGCAGUCCACGAAAACCUGUGCCGUAUCGAGUACGAUGCAACGCACGGCCCCCGGGCCUGAGACAGUUCUCCUCACACCUCCGCCAGGUCGUGUGGCCCCGCAAUUUCAAGCUCGAGAAACUUAAAAAAUACGACGGCAAGUUAAAUCCAGAGAACUGGAUCACUCUCUAUGAAAUCGCCGUCCGAUCAGCAGCGGGAGAUGAGCACGUCAUGGCCAACUACUUCCCAGUGGUCCUCGACCAGGCUGGUCAUCAGUGGCUUCUUGGCUUGCCCAAGGACUCCUUCGACUCUUGGGAAGAGCUACGCCAGGCUUUUAUCGACAACUUCAUCGCCACAUGCGAGCAGCCUGGAAACAAGUAUGACCUCGAAAGGAUAAGGGACAGGAAAAAUGAACCUCUGCGCGAUUACAUCCGACGAUUCUCGGAUAUGCGCCUUAAGAUCCUGAAGAUUUCCCACGACGAGGCCAUCUCUGCCUUCAUCAAGGGCCUGCGUUUCCAUGAAGCACUGAGGAGCAAGCUGUUGUGCAAAAGGCCAACAACGAUGGCUGAGCUCCUCGCCACGGCUAAAAAUUACGCCGAUGCCGACGACGCAGAGAAACUAAUUCGGGACGAUGCGAGAGGUCCCGACCAGCCUCCCCGGCGAGAUGACGGUCGCGGUCGUUUCGACAAUAGGAGCCACCGCCGCCCCGACAACCGUGAUCACAGAGAAGGUUGGGAUCGGCGGCGCGACAAUCGCGACGAUUUCAGAGGAAAGCGCCCCCGCGACCAUGACCACGAAGUGAAUACGGUCAAGCGUCCCAACGGGCGGCGGGACUACCAAGAAGACUACAACAAAACGUUGAAGGGACCGUGCCAACUGCAUCCAAAGUCUAAUCAUACCAUGGAAGAGUGCCGCGUCCUCAAAAACAUCUAUACGCGGCGGGCCGCCCAAGACGACUCCGCCAAGAAAAAUGGUAAGCGAGACGGGCACGACCACGAAGACGAGGACGAGGACCAAGAUAGGGACCCUCGACACCAAUAUGUCAGCCCCACUGACGUGGUCCACUCCAUCUUCGGGGGCAAGGUCUCCAUCGAAUCUAAGCGAGAAAGAAAGCUAUUAAAGAGAGCCUGCCUCAACAUAGACAGCACGGACGGACUGAGGCGCAGACCCGAAAUUUCCCCCGUGGUCGCACAGGGAGAAGUGGGCCGCUAUCCCAGAGCCAGGUCAUUUCCCUCUAAUCCUGGACCCUUGCAUCAACAGCAUCAGAUUCGAGCGCGUGCUCGUGGACGGAGGAAGUUUCAUUGACAUCCUCUUCCGCAACAGCCUGCCCGCUCUCAAGAUAUCUCCGGCACAACUAAAACCCUACGAUGCUCAAUUCUGGGGAGUUUUGCCAGGUCAGAGUUCAGUGCCCCUCGGACAGAUAACAUUGCCUGUCCAAUUUGGCACGCCCGACCACUUUCGGACAGAGUUCGUCAACUUCGUGGUCGCCGACUUCGACGGGACCUACCACGCCAUACUGGGCCGACCAUCGCUGACAAAGUUCAUGGUAGUCCCGCACUACUCAUACCUGGUCCUUAAAAUGCCUACAGAGAAGGGUGUCCUAACUGUCAGAGGCAAUGUCUACACCGCAUAUACUUGCGAAGAGGAAAGCUUCAAGAUCACCGAGGCAAUCGACCUCUCAAUUCGCAUGGCAGAAACAGCAACCCAAGCCGCGCAGCUGCCUCCCGACCAGCUCCGAUUACCCGAGCAGGAAACCGCCAGGAAGAACUCAAAAUCCAAGGAGCACAAAGAAGUACAACUGGUCGACGGCAGCCCCGAGAAGACGGCCCUCAUCAGGGCCAAUCUGGACCCCCAAUAGGAAGACGCGCUCGUCAGGUUUCUAAGGGACAACGUGAGCAUUUUCGCAUGGAAACCCGCAGACAUGCCCGGCGUCCCACGAAACCUGAUCGAGCACUCCUUAAACGUCUCGAAGACCGCAAGACCAAUCAAGCAAAAGCUGCGACGGUUCGCUCCUGACAAAAAGGAGGCUAUUAGGAUAGAAAUAACACAGCUUCUAGCAGCCGGAUUCAUAAAAGAAGUGUAUCACCCCGAUUGGCUCGUCAAUCCGGUUCUUGUACGCAAAAAGAAUAAUGAAUGGAGAAUGUGCGUUGAUUACACUGAUCUCAAUAAACACUGUCCUAAAGAUCCUUUCGGUCUCCCUCGCAUCGACGAGGUGGUCGACUCAACGGCCGGAUGCGAACUCCUCUCUUUUCUAGAUUGCUACUCUGGUUAUCACCAGAUCUCGCUAAAGGAAGAUGAUCAGAUAAAAACAUCUUUCAUUACUCCUUUCGGCGCAUAUUGCUACACGACCAUGUCAUUCGGACUCAAAAAUGCCGGAGCCACUUAUCAACGGGCCAUACAGCAAUGCCUCCACGACGAGAUUCGUGACGACCUCGUCGAGGCCUAUGUAGAUGACGUCGUCAUCAAAACAAGGGAUGCAAGCACCCUAAUCGACAACUUAGACCGAACCUUUAAGGCGCUUAAUAGGUACAAGUGGAAGCUUAACCCCAAAAAGUGCAUCUUCGGUGUUCCUUCUGGUCUACUGCUCGGCAACGUUGUCAGUCGCGACGGCAUACGACCAAAUCCUUCAAAAGUAAAAGCAAUACUCGACAUGCGACCACCUAAAAAUGUCAAGGAUAGUCAGAAGCUCACCGGAUGUAUGGCCGCUCUCAGCCGCUUCAUCUCAAGACUAGGAGAAAAAGGUCUCCCUUUCUUCAAACUCUUGAAAGCGUCGGAAAAAAUUUCUUGGACUGAGGAAGCCGACGCCGCAUUCACCCAACUUAAGACUUUCCUCACUUCACCGCCUGUUCUUACAGCGCCCCAGCCCAAUGAAGACCUACUCCUUUACAUUGCUGCAAUCGACAGUGUUGUUUCCACGGCAAUAGUGGUUGAGCGAGAUGAGCCAGAUCAUGUCUACAAGGUCCAGAGACCCGUUUACUUCAUAAGCGAAGUCCUAAACGAGUCCAAGGCCAGGUAUCCACAAAUACAGAAGCUCAUAUACGCCAUUCUAAUAACGUCAAGAAAGCUGAAGCACUACUUCGACGGCCAUCGAGUCCUGGUGACCACCAGUUUCCCUCUUGGGGACAUUCUGCGCAAUAAAGACGCCAACGGCAGAAUCGUAAAAUGGGCGAUGGAGUUAUGCCCAUUUUCCCUAGAAUUCCAGAGCUGCACCACAGUUAAGUCUCAGGCCCUGGUCGAUUUCAUUGCUGAAUGGUCGGAUCUCAACGAGCCUCCCGUUCCCGACGUCUCCGACCACUGGUCAAUGUUCUUUGACGGGUCCUUGAACAUCAACGGCGCCAGCGCUGGGAUACUGUUCGUGUCGCCUAACAAGGACAAACUGCGUUACGUCCUUAGGAUCCUUUUUCCGGCAUCAAACAAUGUCGCCGAAUACGAAGCAUGCCUGCACGGCAUAAGGCUAGCCGUUGAGCUGGGAGUCAAACGCCUCUAUGUCUGUGGCGACUCUGCUUUAGUUAUCAACCAGCUCAACAAGGAGUGGGACGCAACCCACGAGAAGAUGGAUCUCUACUGCAAAGAAAUUCGCAAAUGGGAAACCAACUUCUACGGCAUAGAGUACAUCCAUGUGGUUCGGGACAAGAACCAGGCAGCAGAUGCGUUGUCAAAGUUAGGGUCGUCUCGGACCCAGAUCCCGCGGGGUAUUUUCGUCCAGGACAUCCAUGAGCCAAGUGUGGGCACAGGCCUGGUCGAAAAGCAACUUACUAAGGCAAUGCUCAUAGACGAUGCCACUCCAACAACCAGUAGCCGUGAUUGGCGCACCCCGUUCAUAAGAUAUAUAUCGGACGGGUCAGGCUUUCAGGAUAAAACAGAGAACGAGCGCCUCAUUCGACGAUCAAAGAAUUACAUACUGGUCGACGGCAAACUCAUGCGAAAAAAUGCAAGUUCUGAAGUACUGCUCAAAUGCAUAUCCCAAGACGAUGGCAUCAAGCUCCUAGAGGAUAUACACGCCGGAUCCUGCGGCAAUCAUGCUGCAUCUAGAACGCUGGUCGGGAAAGCCUUCCGAGCAGGUUUUUAUUGGCCAACCGCGGUCAACGACGCAGAAAAACUGGUCCGACACUGCGAGGGAUGUCAGUUCUUCGCUAAAAGGACCCACGUACCUGCUCAUGAGAUUCAAACCAUCCCGUCAUCCUGGCCCUUCGCCUGCUGGGGGCUCGACAUGAUCGGGCCAUUUAAGCCGGCCCCUGGCAACUUCAAGUUCGUUUUCGUGUUAAUCGACAAGUUCUCAAAGUGGAUUGAAUACAUGCCACUGGUCAAAGCAACCUCUGAGAAGGCUGUGGAGUUCCUUAAUCAAAUCAUACACAGAUUCGGGAUCCCAAACAAUAUAAUCACAGACCUGGGUACUCAGUUUACUGGCACCACAUUUUGGGACUUCUGCGAUGACAGGGGCAUAGUCAUAAAAUACGUGUCAGUAGCUCACCCACGGGCCAAUGGUCAAGUUGAGCGCGUGAACGGAAUGAUCAUUGACGCCCUGAAGAAAAGGUUGUACACCGAGAACGACAGGGCACCCGGUCGAUGGAUGAAAGAGUUACCGGCUGCGGUCUGGGGCCUCCGAACUCAGACUAGUCGGAACACGGGAGUGUCACCCUACUUCAUGGUUUAUGGCACCGAGGCAGUCCUGCCGUCUGACAUAACCUUCGAUUCUCCUAGGAUUGAAAACUUCGACCAGUCAACAGCCGACAACGCCAGAGAGCUCGAAAUCAACUGCAUGGAGGAAAAGCGUUUAAAUUCUUGUCUCCGAACAGCAAAGUAUCUUGCGGCAGUCAGGCGGUACCAUAACAGGAACGUCAAGGACCGUUCCUUCGUGGUCGGCGAUCUGGUACUUAGGUGGAAAACAAGCCAAGAGGGAAUGCACAAGCUGUCCACCCCCUGGGAAGGACCCUUCGUGGUCACCGAAGUCACACGACCCACAUCCUAUAGAUUGGCAUACCCAGACAGAACACGCGUGCCUAACUCUUGGCACAUAGAAAAACUGCGCCGAUUUUAUCCAUAAGUUCUAGUAACUUUCGCUUGUAAAUAUCUUAUAGCUGUCAAUAAUAAAAGUUCUUCUUUUUGCCUAUACUUUGUUACACGCAGAACUCGGAAAGUCUUGCGCGAUCGGAGCUCUUAGCGACUACGAAAUCAAAUACAGUGGCACGUCACUCAGAUAAUUGUACAGCGCUCAAAAUAACAGUCAUGACAAAAGCAAACUUUAUUACAAACUUUACAUACAAAAUUUACAAUAAAUACCCUGACGGGCGGACACUAGUCUACUCCUACAGACUAUCCUAAUGGCCUACUGCUCGGGCUGAUCACCCGCCUGGCCUUGCUGCCCGGACGAAGGGGUCGGGGCCACCGGCGCCUGGCUGGUCGAGACCGCAGGCGUCGACCGCCCAUCUCCCGCAACAGACGCGCCCGACAGCUCCCUGGCCGACCUGUCUGAACCCGGCUGGUCGGGGGGAGUGGCCGUUCCGCAUAGAUUGAUGUCGCCGAUCACCAUCGACGACAAGUCCAGCAGACCACCCCGAAGCUCGUCCGCAUCCUGCGGGCCGACCUCCUUGGGAUACCCCUUCUCCAGCCUGGUCAAGUCAACCAGGGGGUAGUGGGCGCGCACCAUGCUAAGGACAUGCGCGCCAGCAAACUCUCCAGCAUCCUUCACGAAUUGUUGGAGCCAGUCCCACGCCCGUUGCGCCUUUUCAACUGGCGUUAAUCUCGGCGCGCGGGGCUGGCUCUCCGGGAGCUCGGGACUGAUCAAGUCCAGGACCGGGGCCACUCCUUUCCAAAUCCUGCAGUAGUUGACCUUCCAGGAGUCCCGAUCCUUGACCAGUUCCUCCAUGUGCUUCUUGGUGUUCGCCUUGAGCACUGCAAAUCAAGGAAGAUGUUAACCUCGGCGUAUCAAACAGAGUGGUAAGAGGCAAAUAAUGGGGGCAGCGCGUGAUACCAGACAACUCCCGGUCCCUUUGGCCCAGCUCCUCCCCUGCUCGGCGACCGGCCUCCAGCGCCCCAGCUAGCUCUCGACCGAGCUGCUCCUUCUCCUGUCGGAGGCGCGCCACCUCCUCCUCCAAGCCUACGUGAACCAUAACCUGGUCAGUAAAGCAAACUACGCAGCUACACACAGCUGCUCGAAGCAUCUAACUGACCUGACCGCUGCCGAUACUGGUCGGCCAAGCGACGAGUGAGCUCGAGACGACGCUCCUCCUGGGCGUUCAUCUCGGCCACCUUCUCCCCGACCUCCGACCGCAGCCGGUCCACCUCCGCGGUCAGGGCCUUGUUCUCGGCUACAUUCCUUCUAUCUGGUCGAAGCACCUCUUCCGGUACUUCGCCGUUUUCAUGGCGCCCUGCAAGAAGGUUGCAUGUCGACCCAGAAAGAUAAUAAAAAAAGGGAGUCGAGCAGUGCAAAGAAUCACUUACCUUGACCUCAUCUACAAGACGUUUGGCCGCACGCUCCACCCUCGCGGCCUCCUCCGUCUCCGCGAGCUCUUCAUGUCCAAUAAAGUGGUCCCCGCGUUGGCGCCACACGUAGAUGUGCUGGCGGCCAUCACGGGGACGCCCCUGGACCUCCUCCACGUCGUCAUCAGAGGCCUCUCGGGGCUCCUCGUUCGCCGCACUGCCUCCGGCUGCGGUCGAAGGCAUCACUGGCCCCCGGCCUAGGCCAGGGGAGCUCACGGGUGAAGAAGCCCCUGCUCGGGGCGGUGUCGGGACCCUCCCUUCUUCGGCUGGAGGAGUUGGGAUUCGGCCUUCCUCUUCAGCAGCAGCGCUCGGGGGAGGGGUCCUUGAAGCCUCCUCGUUCCUCGGUGGAGUACUCGCCGCAGCACUCGCCCAGGCACACUGCCCCUCAGCGCCUGUAGCAGCAGCCGCCGCCGUAGGCUGACCUGUGGCCUGCGGCGCGGCGUCGACGGCGGCAGGCUCGGGCGCCCCCUGGCCGGCGGCGUGGUCGGGGUUGACAUCCGACGCCGCGCUAAAAAAACAAAGCACUUUCUUAAUAAAAAAAAAUCGCCAAAAUACGUAAGUCGAACACUUACAGGUCUGAUCGACGGUGGGUCGCGGUGAACCUCCUCCUUGCCCGGCCGGUCGGCACCUGUGCCCCCGUCUCCGUGACGCGAGGCGCAGGAGGGUCGCUGGCCACCCGAUCAGCAGUGGUUGGCACGCUGUCCGGACGGCCAUGAGGCCUUCGGACCAGCGACGGUGUGGCCUCCUCCUCCUCCUCGUCGUCGUCGGUAAUCCGAACGAACCGACGACGCUUUGGCGCUUGGCUGCUCUCUGCCGGCAGCGUCGGCGCCGGCGACGGAUCCGCCGCCAUUGGCCUUUUCCCCGCCACUCUAUCCUCGGUGGUCGGGACGGGGCGGGCCUGGUCCUCCUCACUGCUGGUGUAAUGAGUACACCGAGCAGCGUCUUCCUCUGACGGAUCUUCUCCCGUAGGAUUCUCCAUUCCAGGUGCCAGUGAUACGUACACUGUGCACCGGUCAACAUCUCUGAUCUGCAAAAGUAACAAAGAUAAGUCAGCAGCAGACAAUAUACGGAUGCUAAAGCGAAAUAAUCAGUGACAUACCUUAGGUGCCGGUCGCCCCAACUUGAAGGCUUGCACCCGAUCACUACCACGGACGAAGCCUCCGUCCACGAAGUUGAACAGCUCGUUCAACAGCUGCUGUACCUCCGCCUUCUCCAAGACCUCAGGUCGCAUCCUGGUCGGGUCCAUGCUUCCGGCAUACUCGUACGCCGAGUGCACCCUCUUCUGGCAGGGCAUCACCCGACGGCACACAAAGUUGCCGACCACGCCUAGCCCGUCCAGGCGCGACCAGUCGAUCAGCUUCAUCAGGUCUGCCACUUGACCGUCGAACUUCAGGCGAUCGGUCCAGCUCACCCUCUUCUUGGGGAUGUACCCCACGUCACAGAACGUUUAGCUGCCCGGUUCCUCCCUGAUGUAGAACCACUUCCUGUACCAUUCGGUCAGGGAAGUGUUCCAUGGACAGUGCAGAUAGCGGUUCUUCGUCCCGUCGCGAUGGUUGAGGUAUACUCCACCUGCAACCUUGGAGCCUCCAACUGCUCCCUUCUUUCUUAAACAAAAAAGAUAGCGAAAGAGAUCGAAGUGCGGUUCUAUGGCAACAUAGGCCUCGCACAAAUGAAUAAAAGUAGAAAUAAGAAGGAUUGAGUUCGGGUGCAGAUUGCAAAUCCCGAUCUCAUAAUACAAAAGAAGACCCUGAAGAAAAGGAUGAACAGGCACCCCAAAACCCCUCUUAAGGAAAUCCUCGAACACGACGAUCUCACCGGCGUGGGGGUCGGGGUAGCUCUCCCCCUCCGGUGCCCUCCAGCCACCGAGCUCUGGGCUGUGCAGUAGCCCCAUAUCGACGAGGUCACCGAGGGACUUUGCGGUGCUGCGGGAUUUCUUCCAUUCCUUGGCCAUCAGCUCGGCCCUCUUCUUCGAGUCGCUCUUCGCCAUUGGAGGUGCGGAAGUGGAUUCGAGUUUGGAAGGUGCAGGCGAUUGAAGGAGGCAAGAGCGGAAGGCUUGAAGGCAAUGGCAGGGUAAGCAGUACAGGGGAAACUGUCGAGCUCUUAUAAACCACAACUUCACCCCUCCCACUUCCCGCAUUCUCGGGAAGUGGGCGGGCCAUACGGCGGAUACGGUGUUUCGGUUUUCAAUGAUUAUCGACAAUUAAUGCGGCGGAGUUUUCGUACAAAUUGAUGGUUUCCUUUUCUCAAACCGCGCAAAGGGCGGCCGUACAGUUGCCAGGCGCAACUUUUCAUGCAUCCAUCUGACAUCCCGUCAGGAGGUCUCGUCACGUCAACUUUUUUCUGGAAAUUUUUUUUCAAAACAAGCAGACAGAAAUGGCAGAGAGUCAACAAUCCGGGGACUGCACCGACCACCGAGCACUUGAUGCUCGGGGACUGGUCGCCCAGUCUAUUAACUCGGAACUUCAACGACUGCACCGACCACCGAGCACUCGAUGCUCGGGAACUGGUCGUCCAGUGUAGCAACUCAGAACUUCAAGGAGCGCACUGACCAACGAGCACUUGGUGCUCGGGGACUGGUCGUCAGAUUUGUUGAGACUGCUCUGACCACCGAGCGCUUGAUGCUCGGGGACUGGUCGCUUAAUUUAUUGGUUUGGAAAUCAGCAAGCUGAACUGUUCGCCGACCAUUGUACACCCAGGGACUAGUUGACCAGCUCGGCGAAUUGCAAGCUCUAUGGUCAAUGAGCAUGAGAUGCUCGGGGACUGGAUAAUUUUGGUUUUUUUUAGACCUUGCUACAAGUUUCAUACUUCGCCUUCCAGCAACCUCGGGGACUACAUCGGUACGAUGCAUCUAGCGAUGCAUCUCACAUUCAAAGCAGCUUUGGAGAUUCUUCAUUGGACCCUGGCACCACGUGACUACGUCACCUGCUACCAGGCUCGGGGACUAAGUGGGCACACUUCACCUUGCGGUGAACUUGCUUGUCUUUUUGAUGGACUGUACUUUUCAGGAAAGUAAAGUGGGCACACUUCACCAAAAAAGGAAUAUUUUUUCUCAAGAGCACCAUGCAUUCUUCGAACAAUUGGCUUCUUCGAUGAUGAAGUUAAUUGGAUGCAUUUAAAUUUAUUCAAACUGUUGUCGCAACUAUUUGGGCAAUUUUCAUAAUGAUUGAAGAUAUUAAGUUUCAUUGGUCGAAGAAGCUCAAGACGGCGUGUUACUUCACAAUACAUGGUGCUCGGGGACUAGCUGUGGGGGUAUAAACCCCUAUACCCUUACGGCUAGACUUGGGCCAGGAGGCUUGGCCCAUUACGAGACAAGUUCGAAGCUUGAUCCGACAGCUUGGAGUUUCACGCAAGGGAACAAGACGUGGAGAUCAAGCAACAUUCUAGUCGGUUAGAAUAGGAAUUGAUACCGAACUAUCUAUGGCAAUUGUAACCGACUAGGAUUAGUUGUCAGAUCUGUAACCCUGCCCUCCGGACUAUAUAAGGAGAGGCAAGGGACCCCCCUAGGACCUAUUAUUCUCUCAACACAAUCCAUACAACAAGACGCAGGACGUAGGUAUUACGCCAACUCGGCGGCUGAACCUGGAUAAAAAGCUUGUCCGUGUCUUGCGUCACCAUCGAGUUUGUAGUUUGCGCACCGUCUACCGAUAAACUACUACCGUGGGUAUACCCCAAGGUAGACUGCCGACUAGCUUUCGUCGACACGAACGGGACUCUCAGUUUUCUCAGUCGUCCUGGGAUUUGCUGGAUGGCGUAGUCGGUGGUUCCGGCGAUGCCUGCUCUUCUUGUAUAACUAUCUUCUCUCUACACACCUGACUCGGUGCUACGGUCUCCUCAGGACAGUUCUAUUCGAGUUGUAUGUCUUCAGACCUUACUACUUCUCCUUCGUAGUCUGCCCAUCCGUCCUUGAUGAUUUGCCUCCUCUGGUUGCCGUUACGUCGUCUUCUUCUUGUCCUCACCUUCAAUCUUUCAGAAUGUCUAAUCUGGCAUCUGGAGGCUGAAUGUAUGUCGGUUUUAGGGGCAUGGUUCCGAACAGGAGCUGAUAGGUGACUGGGUCGUCCUUUUUGGUCAGGAACGGUGACUUAAGUUGAUGAUCUUGACCUCCUUGAACUGCAAUGACCAUCUUAGCUGACUCGGUCCACAUUUGCUUGUUCCUGUUCCUCCUAUUGGUCCUCUUCCUUGAUUCAUGCCGGGAUUGCUCUGAGAUUUGUGUAGUCUUGUUCUUGAAGGAAAAUGUCUCCUUCCUCCCCUUGAUGUAGAAACUGAUAUUGGUAGCACUAUCGUAUAUGGCAGCUCCCGAGAUGUUCAGGAAUGGCCUCCCUAGGAUGAUAGGUGCCCUCUCAUCAGUACCAGUCUCUAUCACCACAAAGUCUGCUGGGGCGUACAAGGUACCAACUCAGACGCAGAGGUUCUUCAAUAUUCCCUUUGGGAAACUGAGUGCUUCUGGGAAGUCCACCAUGCCGAUGGAGAUCGGGAUGACGGGGCGUCCUGGAUCGCCUCUCUGAGUAGUUAGGCCUCUGUUGAUUCCAACCUUGAUUUUGUUGAGGACGGUUGUAAUAGUACUAGUAGUAGUUGUUGUUAUUAUAGUUCACGUCCUCAAGCAUUUCAAGGCAGUGAUUGCAUGAGUGUCCAGUAUAUCCAGUGUGUUUAUGCUCGUAGAUCCAGGUUCUUCACUUGGUGGAGUCUGAGAGUUGUAAAACUCCUUCAUAUUUUGCUCGAAGUGUACCUGCUCAUAGAGACAAGGCAGAGAGUGCAUGGGCCCUGUUGGUGGAAAACACCAACAGAACCAAAAGUGUAUUUGUUCUUCUCUAACCUUAAGCAUAGUGAGCAAGACAAAGUUGAUGGAUAAUAAGAUCAUGAGUAUAGCAUUUAAAACAUUUGUCAGAUCAGAUUGCUCAACCUAAUGGAAAGAUAAUCUAUCUAUAUUUAUGUGUUUUUUAUGUAUCUUCCAAACAUUGAGUGUGCAACAUUUUAGCUCAUAUGGUUAGGAGUGUGGGAUCACAAAGGUGGAAGGACUAAACAUAUUGAAUCGAUUGGGUUGGUUAAUCUAGAGUUGUAAAUCAUACAUGUUUGUCUCUUUUAUUCAUGUGAACGCCAGAACCAAGGAGAAGCUUAUAAAAGUGAUAGUCAAGUACCUUAAGAUGUUACCUACUUGAAGAGUGAUGGUACAAUAUCACCUUGUGGAAGCUUUUCUUUCUUAGCGGUUGUGCAUCGUGCUUGUGGCACCCUCCAUGGAUCAUCUCUUGUGAGCUAUGCCUUCCUUGUGUAAAUUGUUAACCUUUAUGUGUCUCUCUCUUUGUCUCUAAUGUGGGUUUAUCUCAGGACUUCCCAGGUCGAUAUUGAAAGUUUUCCUAUAGGGGUUAGUCCAACAAAAUAUCCAAUAUCUACUAUAGCAUACUAUCGGCUCAAAAAUCAACCUAGACACCAUGUCUAAUUUGAUUUAGGAGGGCGUUUUAACCUAAGCACCAUGCUUAAUUUAAAAUCCCUUAGAAGUAAGAUCAUCGUUCCUAAACUAAGCACCAUGCUUAAUUAAGAGAUAAAUGAAACUACUCCAAACCUAGACAUAUACUAAAGCAAAUAAAGGUAGCAUGAGAGCAUUUAUAGAGAUCUACUCAAGUGGAGAUGAAGUAGUGUGAUUAGUAUUUAACAAAUUGAGCAUGUCUCAAAGGUAGGGACAACCAACAUAGAAACAUGGCAAAGGAUGUUUUUAUGUAAAGUACUCCCCAAGCUUGAAUUUUGCAAAAUUCAAGUUUGGAUGAAUUUAAUUUAAUGUUGUAUGAUGAUUGGUUGGACAUACCUUGUGCUUGUCAUUCAUCCGAUCUUCUUGCUCCAAUCUUGGAAAGGUUAGUGACAAGAAUACCCGAAGGAAUUUUUUACAAUUAUCCUUAUAUGCUCAAUACACAAGGUAAUGUUGUAAAUAAUUAAAAGCUUAUGUUACGAUCUAAGCUUGUCCUUGGGAAACCAUCAAUUUAUGUCGGCAAAGUGGUUUCCCCUCCAACGCUGACCUAUAUCAACUCAACGAGAUCUGCAAUAUUUAUUAUAGACAUAUGCAUCGAUAACCGCCCUUUUAAGGUUUUUAUAAAUAGAAAGCAUGAGGGGGUUGGAGAUCUUGAAUGUGGUGAUGUUGGAAAAACCAAUGGAUUGGUAAGAUGUUGCAUAUGAGCAUGGAGUAAAUGAAGUGGCUAUGAAAUAAAUUCCAUGCUCAUUAAUGCUUGGAGUGAAAUCCAUUUGGUAUGGUGAAAAUGGUAGGGUGAGUGUGGUAAAAAAAAGAAAAGAAAAAGGAUACACGGACGACUUGGUUCGAAACUAGCACAACUACUGUUCCCCCGCAACGGCGCCAGAAAGCUUGUUGGGUAUUUUAAACGCAAACAGAAAAAUCCGCAAGCGCACGGAUACCGAUGUAGCUUUCAGCCGGGAGUAUUCCAGAGUAUCGAUUUUCCACAGGGAACGUGAGUGUACUAAUUAAGAUUCAAGAUCGCCCAAGGAUAACUAUAUAAUUAUUUUUGGUGGGAAGAGAGAAAGUUUCCGAGAGUUCUCUAGUUGAUCUAAGAAUCAAGAAUUACUUCAAAGAUUAUUGUUGGGUAUUCUUAACAUCAUUACCAAAAGUAGACUAAGUUCUCUAAAUCUAGUAACGGUGCCAAAAAUGCCAAACCUAUCCCUCACACCACUUAAGCCAAGUUGUCAUCCCCAGCAUGACAUGAGAGACGCGGUAUUGAAAUAUGCAAUUGCUCUUCUAAAUAAAUAAUGAAUGGGAUCUGCAAGCGCACAGAUUAAUACCGAUGCAGCAUUUUAACCGGGAAGUAUUCCAGGUAUCGUUAUUUAUAUUUUUACCACUGGGAAGGGAUUAGCAAUCAUCAAUAUUGAUUACAGAAUAGAAUAUGAGAUUGAGCAUCUAUCAUUGCAUGUAUAAUUGAGAACAUUAUAUCUAACUCUUCAUACAGGGAUAAGUGUCACAUAAAAGAUAUAUGAAAUAAUAAUAGUGACAAGGAUAACUAAUCUGAUCUAGCCACAUAAUAAAUAUGAUAAGCACCUCAAUUAGAUACUCUAGAAAGUCAUUAGCAUGGUAUUAGAACGAACUACAAGAAUAUUCCCUAAGUUAUUCUCAACUAUAUAGUCUAGCAUUAUCAUAGUUAGUGCAAGCAUACUUAGCAAUCCUUGUGAGACAAGACUACGCCCAUGCAUAGUGAUAUUAGCAAGGAAUAUGAGAAACAUAGCAAUCACUCCCCUGUAAUAAUGUUGCUCUGCCAGCCCAAUACACGAGAGGGGGACUAUAUAAGAAUCAAUGAAGCUGUCACUAUCACGAACCACCCCACGAUCUGGCAUAUUGGGUACAAACGCAGAUAAAUACGGUAUAAGCACCACGCCUACACAAUAUCUAUCAUUUAUCCAUGGAUCCGAUGGAUAAACGCUAUACGAUCCUAAGCAUGUAUAUAGAUCGAAUCUAACUAAGCCAAGUACAUAACUAUGAUAAACUAAAAACAAUAUAAUCUUGAAUAUAAGCAAGUAGAGCAAAGUCAUAAGCAAUAUAUUGAAGUAGAACAAAGUCAUAUUCAUAAUAUUGAAGAACAAAGAUAAUUAGAAAGUAAUUAGAAGCACAAUUAGAGAAUUACCAAGAAUCCUCUUGACAGAUCCGGAAACCAAUCGAAGAUUGACUCCUUCUAGUUCUAAUCCUAUGUAGCUAUGCUAAUCUAGAUAUCUAAUUGAUGUGGUGGCUCUAAUCUUGAUCAGAGGCUUCUUCUCCCUUGAUGGAACAAUGAAUUAGGGUUGAGAGGCUCUCUCCUCCAGGGGCCAGGGGGUCUAGUUUUAUAGUCCCUUCAAGUGAAUAUGGGCCCUUGGAUCAAACCGACAUAGAUUGUAUGGUUUAGAUUCAUCCUUUAGGUCGGUGGAGAUCUCCCGCGAAGCAGAGUCCUGAUUGGACUCCUGGAGAGGGCGGGCGCCCAGGGGAACAUGGCGGGCGCCCUGCCUCUGGCCCCGUUUCGCCUCCGCUUCGGUCUCGUGGCUUCUGGAGUCUUCUAGAUGUAAGAUAAUUGCGCGGCACGUUAAUAUCUCUAUGUAAUCCCGACGUGUGGGCCUUUCUUCCGUAUUUCCUAAUAACCCCCUACAGAAAUAGACAAACACCAAAACUCGUGGAAUUCUGUCAGAUAAAACCCUGAGUCUGGAUGUUGAUUUCAUUUGGAUCCUUUUCUUUGUUUAUUUGAUAAUUAAAUUUGAUACUUAAGGACCGUCAACAAACUCCCCCAAGCUUACCUCUUGCUCGUCCCUGAGCAAGGAUAGACUCAGCUAUGGAUCAUAAAUUGUUGCAAUAUCUUUAAAAAUUAACGGUACACAUGCUUUUUAAAUAAGAUCUCACCUCUGAGUUAGAGUAAACUCUCAAGACUUAAAACUUACUUACUUUACCUUCACCAUGGGACUUGUAACCGUCACUUCUGUCUUGAGUAGUUAAAAGAUAGAACAGUCCAGCCAAGUGCCAUGUCUCUUAUUCUUGAUCAGCUAUAGCUCUAGAGUUUUUGUAGAUUUUCAAAUAAAACUCAGAGAUUCCUUGUAUGAUUCUCUCAGAUCUCUCUUUUGUGGUAUUUCUGGAUCCUUACCAAGGCAGUGAUGGUAUAUGCCUUCUCUCAAGAUAUGUGGUAUUUGUGGUAUGAAGCAUAGUGACAUUGUCUUCUCUCUCACCCUACUCUAAUAAGGCUUUAAUAUCUGGAGCUCAUAGGUGGGAGAUAAAGUAUACAUACUUACAAGACAUUUAUUGCAUAGUCAAACCAUGGAUCCAAAGAAACAAAUCAAUAAGUUUAAUCAAGAUGUGCAUGUGUGGCGAAUGAAUGGUGUAUGGUGAUGAUGGUGAUAACAAUGGUGAAAACAAUGGUGGUGGAAGUCUAAUUCUACUUUUGCUCUUUGAGGGGAUACAUACCUUCCUUGCUUUUUGAAACUUUAUGAGGAGAAUGAGAUGCUCUUCUUUUUCUUUUCUCUCAGGUGGGUAUCUUGUACCCCUAAUUCUACUGUCGGACACUUGUCCAUUUUUACCUCUCGUCUCACUUUUUCUUUUUCUUUCUUUCGAGGUUCCGAGCACUUGCUCCUUUUUCUUUCCUCGUAUCUCUUUCUUUUUUUUCUUCUUUUUUUUCUUUUUUUUAGAGCACUCAUCUCUUGAGAUAAUAUAGCAAAUGGUAGUAACAAGAUAACUUGAGCAUUUAUUUCACAAGGGAAAAACAAAAAAUAUUUUUGAUUAUUCUCUCCUGGAUUAGGAGUAGAAUAUUUUUAGGUGGUUCUGGAGAUGGAAAUGGAUGGAUAUAUGUGGAUGGUACUUCCGGAGUAGAAGUAUCAUAUAUGAGUGAACGUGCAAGUGAAAUCUUGAUUUAACCACAUGACAAGCUCCUAAGGGUCUACACAGCUUGACCACACUCAAUGCUCAUAAGCAGUAAAUAUUAAAUGUGUGGCUCAAAGUCUAGCAAGCAUGUAUAUAUGGCUGUGGUAGGAAUUUAAACUCUCAUCAUACAGGAACUCAUCAUGCAACAUUUUAAAGAUUUUCAAAGAUAAAAUUCUCCAGAAUUCUAGCAUCUCUAGGAACAGAUAAACAACAGCUCAACCUUCCCAUAUCAUAUCCGUUAACAACUUAGACUUCAGAUCAAAUUUUCAUCCCACAAGUUUAGGUCUAGAGCAAGCUUUAAAUUAUAACAGUUAUGUCUAAACUUGAGAGAGAACUUAAAAUGUGCAAAUUAGGCAGAGCAACUAUUCAUCAUAUCCAUGCUUAAGUUUUAUUUAGAUACAGAUUAGCAUAGCCACUUUAUUUAUUUAUUAAACACACUAAGCAAAAGACAUAUAUAUAAGCAUGAAAUCUUUAUUUGGUUUUCCAUAGUUAUGUAUAUUUAAAUUCUAAAAUAAUAUAAGUAUAAAGAUAGAUAGAAAGAAAUACUUAUCGGGAUAAAUGGGGGUGCUCUCCCCCAAGCUGAAUUUUGACGUAAUUUCUCUUGAUGUAGCUAGCAGGUGGCAGAGGUGUAUUUGAAAGUCAGCAGCAUUCUGACAGCGAUUAGAAUGUCCUCCGUCUGCUAGUCUUCCUAAAUUCUGUGGAGCUCAAAUAGACAACAAAGCUUGUGGAACUGAUUAAGUGUUAGCAUAAAUAUCUAGCCUUUAUCAUGCUGAGACUCCUUAAUAAUUAUUACUCCCUGUUUUUAUAUUUUCAUUUUAUAAAGCAGAAAAAUAUUUAUUUUAUUUUUAUGCCACCACAGUGAAUGCACUUAUGGGUUUUAUGCCACUCGUAUACUCACAUGGGGCUUACUGUUUUUCAUAUUUUUUAUUUUCUUUUUUUUAGAAUAGCACGAACAUGAUUAACUAAGUAAACUAGUUGGAAUAAUUUGAAAGGGAAAAGAUAACUACCAAGUUUACCUCUUGGCAAGGCGUUUGGUGUUUUUAAGUCCUCCGAACGGGACUCCGUUUUCUCAAUUGUCUUGAGGUUCGUUGGGUGGCAUAGUCGGUACUUCUAGUGGCGCCUCCUCUUCAUGUAUGGUUAUCUUCAUUUUCCACACCUGACUCGGUGCUUCCGUCUCCUCUGGAUAAUUCUGUUUAAACUCAACGUCUUCUGAUCUUACAACUUCUCCUUCAUAGUCUGCCCAUCCGUCCCUGAUGAUCUGCCUCCUCUGGUUGCGGUUGCGUCUUUUCCUUACCUGCUUAGAUUCUACAACGAUAUAGUUAGGGUCAGUAAAGUAACGGCGUACCUUCUCUGAGGGGAAGUGCAUAUGGACUUCUCCGGUUCCAAUAUAGAUAAUUGCUUUAACGGUGCUGAGGAACGGUCUUCCAAGGAUGACGGGUGGAUCGUAUUCAUCUUCUCCCAUGUCAAUAACUUGAAAGUCUGUGUAGACAAAGUGAUCGUCUAUUUUGACUGGGACAUCAGUUAUUAUUCCUUUAACUUCUCGAAAUGUCUGAUCUGCCAUCUGGAGCUGAAUGUAUGUUGGUCUUAGUGGCAUGGUUCCGAACAAGAGCCGAUAGGUGACUGCGGCCAUUAUGUUGACGCCCGAUCCGGUGUCACAAAAUGUCUUGUAGAAGUUGUAUCCAUUUAUGGAGCAGUAAAUGCUUGGCAUUCCUAGGUCGUCCUUCUUGGUCAAACACGGUGACUUAAGUUGGUGAUCUUGGCCUCCAUGAACUACAGUGACCAUCUUAGCUGACUCGGUCCACACUUGCUUGUUCCUGUUCCUCCUGUUGGUUCUCUUCCUUGAUUUACGUCUGGAUUGAUCUGGAAUUUGUGUAGUCUUGUUCUUGAAGAAAAAUGUCUCCUUCCUCCCUUUGACGUAGAAACUGAUCUUGGCAGCACUGGCGUAGAUGAUAGCUCCCGUGGUGUUCAAGAAUGGCCUCCCUAAGAUGAUAGGUGCUCUCUCGUCAUUUCUGGUCUCUACCACUACGAAGUCUCCUGGGGCAUACAAGGUACCAACUCGGACACAAAGGUUCUUCAAUAUUCCUUUUGGAAAAGUUAUCAUCUGAUCUGCAAACUGCAAACACAUGGUUGUUUCUAAUAAAGGAUAUGUAAAGAAUUUUUCAUAGAGUACCCUGGGUAUAAUGUUGACACUAGAGCCAAAGUCGCAGAGUGCUUCUGGAACGUCCACCAUGCCGAUGGAGAUCGGGAUGACGGGGCGUCCUGGAUCGCCUCUCUUGACCGGCAGAAGGUCAGUAGAGAAUUCAUUGACGGGGUUACUCCAAUUACCUGCAUCAUACAUGUCUACAAGAUUUGCAGAUUCUAAUCCUUCCGGUUGUGAUGGUAUACCGGGGUUAGUAGUAGGAACAGCAGCAACUAUUUGAUUUAACUGAGACUCAAUCAUUUUAUUAAAGCUAAUUUGAUUCUUGAUGGCAGUAGAGAAAUUAUCCAUUCUAUUAUUUAUAUUUUCUAGCAUUUUAUCAUUAGAUGCCAAUUUCUUGGAUAGGUUAUCCAUUAGCUUG